rnacentral:rRNA from 1 species
CGUAGGGUGCAAGCGUUAAUCGGAAUUACUGGGCGUAAAGCGUGCGCAGGCGGUUUUGUAAGUCUGAUGUGAAAUCCCGGGCUCAACCUGGGAAUUGCAUUGGAGACUGCAAGGCUAGAAUCUGGCAGAGGGGGUAGAAUUCCACGUGUAGCAGUGAAAUGCGUAGAUAUGUGGAGGAACACCGAUGGCGAAGGCAGCCCCCUGGGUCAAGAUUGACGCUCAUGCACGAAAGCGUGGGGAGCAAACAGGAUUAGAUACCCUGGUAGUCCACGCCCUAAACGAUGUCUACUAGUUGUCGGGUCUUAAUUGACUUGGUAACGCAGCUAACGCGUGAAGUAGACCGCCUGGGGAGUACGGUCGCAAAGAUUA